UUGAAAUUGUAAAAUCAAAAGUAGAGCUGUAAACGAACCGAACGUUCAGCGAACAGUUUGUGAACUGUUCGGCGGGAAGUUCGUUUAUGUUCGUUCGAUUAGCUUAACGAACGAACACGGACAAAAAUUUUCGUUCGGUUAGCUUAGCGAACGAACACAAACACAGGUCUCGUUCGUUCAACUGCGUUCGUGAACGUUCGGUAAUAUGUUCGGUUUACGUUCGUUUGUUUAUAUUAAAAAAUAAUAAAUAAUAAAUAAUAAACCUUUUAUCUAAACAUAUUGAAAACUUGAAACCAUAUUUUUUUCUGAAUUAGCUAAAAUUUGGACAUUCUAAGACAUUUUUGAAGAUAAUUAUGUCUAAGUUAGUUAAACUUGAUUCAUCGUUUGGUGGUGUAGUAGACUUCUUGUGUUUUGAUUUAUCAUUUGAUGGUUGUAUUUAACUACUUAUAUCAAAUGUUUAAGAAUAACAAUUGUUCACGAACUGUUCGUGAACAACUGAAUUUGCUUAACGAACGAACAUGAAC
rnacentral:lncRNA from 1 species